CUAUGGAAGACUUCCGAGGAAUACAGGGAGAAAACAUUGCUUCCCUGGGGUGGAUGUUUGUUAUAUACGAGUUUGAAUGUUGCGGUGUAAAUAGUUACAAGGAUUUUCAUAAUUUUGCCCCACAAUGGAACCGUUAUCCGAUAGCUAAUGGAACAAAUAUAACUGCACCAAUCACAUGUUGUAAAUCUCUGAUAACAGAUGGAGAUAUUUCAUGUGCUACAGAAAUCGGAUUGAAUAUAUAUGAACAGGGUUGUUUUGAUGCUAUAUGGGACAAAGUGCUAGGGAAACCAUUAUAUGCUGGUUUAGGAUUUACAUCAAUGUUUGUA